rnacentral:lncRNA from 1 species
AUCUGAUUUACAGAAUUGGAGUGCUUCCUGAAAGGGAACAGUGUGUGGCUCUCUUGACCAAUUCUGUAAAGCUCUUGUGGUUUUUUAAUUGACUAAUCUUCUUGAUGCACUUUGUUGUUUUUCCAUUUGGAUCCCUCUGAACUUGAAUUUUCGAAAGCUGUUAUAAAUCUAAAAAGGAGGUUCACAAAACUUUCUGUGCAUUGACAUGACUCAUGAGGUAGCAGAUCUGUGGAAAAACCUCUCUGCAGGAUUUUUUGUUUUGGAGCAGCCCUCUCCAGUUCAUCCCAGCCAUGGAGUGGUCCUGCAUUGCUGUCCUCUCCUUACAUCACAAAGGAAACCAGACAUCAUGUGCACUUUUUUAAUCUCCAGAUUGGGAAUACAUUUGAAGAUAAAUUUUGACAGCCGUCAACAGAUAAAGAUUUGCAUUGGGACAAGAACAUACCCCGGAAUUUUCAAGAUAAUUCAAUUUUAGAUUCAAUUUCUGCUUCAGAAACUAGCAUUUAUCAAUUCUACCAUAUUAAAAUUCAGGUCUGAAAAUAAAAUGAAGCCAGAAAGCA